rnacentral:rRNA from 1 species
GACGAACGCUGGCGGCGUGCCUAAUACAUGCAAGUAGAACGCACAGUUUAUACCGUAGCUUGCUACACCAUAGACUGUGAGUUGCGAACGGGUGAGUAACGCGUAGGUAACCUGCCUGGUAGCGGGGGAUAACUAUUGGAAACGAUAGCUAAUACCGCAUAAUAUUGAUUAUUGCAUGAUAAUUGAUUGAAAGAUGCUAUUGCAUCACUACCAGAUGGACCUGCGUUGUAUUAGCUAGUAGGUGAGGUAACGGCUCACCUAGGCGAUGAUACAUAGCCGACCUGAGAGGGUGAUCGGCCACACUGGGACUGAGACACGGCCCAGACUCCUACGGGAGGCAGCAGUAGGGAAUCUUCGGGAAUGGACGAAAGUCUGACCGAGCAACGCCGCGUGAGUGAAGAAGGUUUUCGGAUCGUAAAGCUCUGUUGUAAGAGAAGAACGGGUGUGAGAGUGGAAAGUUCACACUGUGACGGUAUCUUACCAGAAAGGGACGGCUAACUACGUG